GAUAAACGCUGGCGGCGUGCAUUAUGCAUGCAAGUCGAACGGUUCUGAUUUUAUCAGGAUAGUGGCAAACGGGUGAGUAACACGUAAGUAACCUGCCCUUAAGUGGGGAAUAACCUCGGGAAACCGAGGCUAAUACCGCAUGUUGUGGUGGAGGUAAGGCUUCAUCACCAAAGCCUUUGGGCGCUUGGGGAGGGGCUUGCGUCCGAUUAGCUAGUUGGUAGGGUAAUGGCUUACCAAGGCGAUGAUCGGUAGCUGGUCUGAGAGGAUGGUCAGCCACACUGGGACUGAGAUACGGCCCAGACUCCUACGGGAGGCAGCAGCAAGGAAUUUUGUGCAAUGGGCGAAAGCCUGACACAGCAACGCCGCGUGGGGGAUGAAGGCCUUCGGGUUGUAAACCCCUUUUCUCAGGGAAGAAUAAUGACGGUACCUGGGGAAUAAGCCUUGGCUAACUACGUG
rnacentral:rRNA from 1 species